ensembl:lncRNA
UCCAUCGUGUCCGACUCUGUGCGACCCCAUAGACAGCAGCCCACCAGGCUCCCCCAUCCCUGGGAUUCUCCAGGCAAGAACACUGGAGUGGGUUGCCAUUUCCUUCACAAUGCAUGAAAGUGAAAAGUGAAAGUGAAGUCGCUCAGUCAUGUCUGACUCUUCAGGACCCCAUGGACUGCAGCCUACCAGGCUCCUCCGUCCAUGGGAUUUUCCAGGCAAGAGUACUGGAGUGGGGUGCCAUCGCCUUCUCUGGAUCUGCCUGCCUAGCCUUCUGAAUUCUUAUCUGUACUGCACAAAAAGGGAGGGCUACAGGCAGAAGCUGAAGGAUACAUUCUCAUAAGGUGAUGCGUGACCUGGCAGCUUGAUCAUCACUACCUAGGAGGCAAAAGUGACAGAACUGGGGGGAGGUGGCAUCACCCAGUGAGAACUUCGGGGAGUGCAGCAGCUCCUCAGCCUCCUGCUGAUUUGGGCCAUGAGGUACUGGAGACUCUUGGAGGAAUCUGGACUGUCGAGAACACCGGAGCCAUGAGGAGUCUUCUGCUUCUGGACAAAACGGAAAAACAGGGGCCAUGAAAUUAAAAGACGCUUACUCCUCAGAAGGAAAGUUAUGUCCAACCUAGAUAGCAUAUUGAAAAGCAGAGACAUUACUUUGCCAACAAAGGUCCGUCUAGUCAAGGCUAUGGUUUUUCCUGUGGUCAUGUAUGGAUGUGAGAGUUGGACUGUGAAGAAGGCUGAGUGCUGAAGAAUUGAUGCUUUUGAACUGUGGUGUUGGAGAAGACUCUUGAGAGUCCCUUGGACUGCAAGGAGAUCCAACCAGUCCAUUCUGAAGGAGAUCAGCCCUGGGAUUUCUUUGGAAGGAAUGAUGCUAAAGCUGAAACUCCAGUACUUUGGCCACCUCAUGUGAAGAGUUGACUCAUUGGGAAAGACUCUGAUGCUGGGAGGGAUUGGGGGAAGGAGGAGAAGGGGACGACAGAGGAUGAGAUGGCUGGAUGGCAUCACUGACUCGAUGGACAUGCGUCUGAGUGAACUCUGGGACUUGAUGAUGGACAGGGAGGUCUGGCGUGCUGCGAUUCAUGGGAUUGCAAAGAGUCAGACACGACUGAGCGACUGAACUGAACUGAGUCUACUCUUACAUCUUGUAAUAGGAUGAA